ensembl:rRNA 5S_rRNA 5S ribosomal RNA
UAUCACAGCCAUAUCUCCCUGCAGCCCAAGACCGGUUACUCGCUGAUGCUAAGCAGGGCUGUGUCUGGUCUGUACCUAGAUGGGAGACCACAUGGGAAGACUAGGUUGCUGUUGAAA